CCCGGCAUGGGCGGGGUCGAGCCGGCCGUCACGCUGGACUAGGUGCCACGCUGGAGCGACCCCGACCAGCGCAUCUUCCUCGCCUCCACGUCCGACGAGGCAUCCGCGGAGGGCGCCGGAUCCGAGGCGACCUCCGCGUCCGGCAUCCUCUCCUUCUCCGACCGCUCACGGUCGACGACGACAGCGCCGGUGCGGGUGGCUCUUACCUCGAUCGCUCGAGGGUCCACAGGGCUCCAGGAUCUCGGUGCGACCACGGUGCGAGUCUCCUGGAUCAGGUUUCUAGAUCCGCCAGUCCAGUCUCUAGGUGCUCCGGUAUCGUCCACGUGCCACCACGGUGCGAGUCGGAGCUGGAGCUGGCGCGCAUGCUGCAUGUGAGCAAAUAGGUUGUUGGGCUGGAGUUGAAGUAAAUUUUAAGUCCUUAUUGUAUGUAGCCCAGCAUUCAAAUGAAAAAAAAAUAGAGACUCAAUUUGCA